CACUCGCGUACCAAACACUUCGUCUAUAGUCGCUUCGGUGCUCCUCUUCGCGCUAUCUCUUUUCCUUUUUUUUUUUUUUUUUUUUAUUUUCACUCUUGGCCCGUCUGUCUCUCGUCUGUUAUCUGUAUCUGUCUUGGUCUAUCUGUCUGUCUGUCUUCUCGUCUGUUGCUCUGUACCGACGAUUUUUAUUUAUUUUUACUUUUUUUUUUUUCCCCCCGUUUUUCCCCCCAAACAUUUUUUUUUUCCUCCGAGUAAAACGAGGACAUACGACAGCACACAAGACGACCGCAACAAUAUAGAUUACAUUUUUCGCAAUAAUAAACCGUAAUAUUUUAU